GACGAACGCUGGCGGCGUGCUUAACACAUGCAAGUCGAACGGAAAGGCCCUGCUUUUGUGGGGUGCUCGAGUGGCGAACGGGUGAGUAACACGUAAGUAACCUGCCCUUGACUUUGGGAUAACUUCAGGAAACUGGGGCUAAUACCGGAUAGGAGCUCCUGCUGCAUGGUGGGGGUUGGAAAGUUUCGGCGGUUGGGGAUGGACUCGCGGCUUAUCAGCUUGUUGGUGGGGUAGUGGCUUACCAAGGCUUUGACGGGUAGCCGGCCUGAGAGGGUGACCGGCCACAUUGGGACUGAGAUACGGCCCAGACUCCUACGGGAGGCAGCAGUGGGGAAUAUUGCACAAUGGGCGGAAGCCUGAUGCAGCAACGCCGCGUGCGGGAUGACGGCCUUCGGGUUGUAAACCGCUUUCGCCUGUGACGAAGCGUGAGUGACGGUAAUGGGUAAAGAAGCACCGGCUAACUACGUG
rnacentral:rRNA from 1 species